GACGAACGCUGGCGGCGCGCCUAACACAUGCAAGUCGAACGAGAGAUGAGGAGCUUGCUCUUCAGAUCGAGUGGCGAACGGGUGAGUAACGCGUGGGUAACCUGCCUUAUACAGGGGGAUAACAGUUGGAAACGACUGCUAAUACCGCAUAAGCGCACGGUAUCGCAUGAUACAGUGUGAAAAACUCCGGUGGUAUAAGAUGGACCCGCGUCUGAUUAGCUAGUUGGUGAGGUAACGGCCCACCAAGGCGACGAUCAGUAGCCGACCUGAGAGGGUGACCGGCCACAUUGGGACUGAGACACGGCCCAAACUCCUACGGGAGGCAGCAGUGGGGAAUAUUGCACAAUGGGGGAAACCCUGAUGCAGCGACGCCGCGUGAGCGAAGAAGUAUUUCGGUAUGUAAAGCUCUAUCAGCAGGGAAGAAAAAAAUGACGGUACCUGACUAAGAAGCCCCGGCUAACUACGUG
rnacentral:rRNA from 1 species